GUCAUGCAAUCCCUCAGUAGUGCUCUGGUUUUGUUUUCGCAACGUCAUGACACUUUGUCUCCACCUAGAUUGCUCCAGAGAGAACAACUGACAGGGUUUUUAAACCAAGGGAAAGGAACUGUGAUUGGGUAGGAGAAAAGGAGCAGGUGUCUUCUGAUUGGGGAAUGAUUGCCAUCUAAAAUACUUCAAAAUGAGAAGAUACUGCCAUGGACAAGAUUGGGUGGACAUAACGUGGAAAGGAGGGGAAAUAACUCACACCAUGCAACAGGACAGCUUUAGCUGCGGGGUCUUUGUAAUGCAGAAUUCAACAAAGGCAACAACUGCUCCAUGUGUGCCAUUGAUAAAGUACCUGGCUGUUGCCCAAAGACUGACUGGAUUGAAUGUUUUGCAUGCCAACGGUGGUUCCAUGUGCUGUACCUAGGGAUGAAUACAAAUGAGUUCAAUAGGUGUGAAGAACACAAACUGGAAGUGAUGUCUUUGUUUAAAAUGUAUGCUAUACCCCAUCCACACUGAAGAGGCUCUGAAAUGUACAUCAACCAGGGAUAAAGAGGAAGUUAACACUGAAAUGUUUUGUACUUAUUUGACGUAAAGUGUCUGACAUUUUGGAAAAUAUUAAAGGUCUACAAUUUGUUUAA